rnacentral:rRNA from 1 species
GAUGAACGCUAGCGGCAGGCUUAAUACAUGCAAGUCGAGGGGUAGCAAGAUUGUAGCAAUACAAUUGUUGACGACCGGCAAACGGGUGCGGAACACGUACACAACCUUCCUACAAGUGGGGAAUAGCCCAGAGAAAUUUGGAUUAAUACCCCGUAACAUAGCGAUGUGGCAUCACAUUGCUAUUAUAGCUUCGGCGCUUGUUGAUGGGUGUGCGGCUGAUUAGAUCGUUGGCGGGGUAACGGCCCACCAAGUCUACGAUCAGUAGCUGAUGUGAGAGCAUGGUCAGCCGCACGGGCACGGAGACACGGGCCCGACUCCUACGGGAGGCAGCAGUAAGGAAUAUUGGACAAUGGACGCAAGUCUGAUCCAGCCAUGCCGCGUGAAGGAUUAAGGUCCUCUGGAUUGUAAACUUCUUUUAUAAGGGACGAAAAAAGGUCUUUCUAGAUCGUCUGACGGUACCUUAUGAAUAAGCACCGGCUAACUCCGUGCCAGCCGCCGCGGUAACAC